UGAGCAAUCUGCCCUUCACAUCGGAAUAACCAUUGGAAACGAUGGCUAAUACCGAAUAUGACCUCGGAUCGCAUGAUCUGAAGUGGAAAGCUCCGGCGGUGAAGGAUGAGCUCGCGGCCUAUCAGCUUGUUGGUGAGGUAAUAGCUCACCAAGGCGAUGACGGGUAGCCGGCUGAGAGGGUGACCCGGCCACACUGGGACUGAGACACCGGCA
rnacentral:rRNA from 1 species